rnacentral:rRNA from 1 species
AGUGAACGCUGGCGGUAGGCCUAACACAUGCAAGUCGAACGGCAGCACAGUAAGAGCUUGCUCUUACGGGUGGCGAGUGGCGGACGGGUGAGGAAUACAUCGGCAUCUACUUUUUCGUGGGGGAUAACGUAGGGAAACUUACGCUAAUACCGCAUACGACCUACGGGUGAAAGCAGUGGAUCUUCGGACCUUGCGCGACUGAAUGAGCCGAUGUCGGAUUAGCUAGUUGGCGGGGUAAAGGCCCACCAAGGCGACGAUCCGUAGCUGGUCUGAGAGGAUGAUCAGCCACACUGGAACUGAGACACGGUCCAGACUCCUACGGGAGGCAGCAGUGGGGAAUAUUGGACAAUGGGCGCAAGCCUGAUCCAGCCAUACCGCGUGAGUGAAGAAGGUCUUCGGGUUGUAAAGCCCUUUUGUUGGGAAAGAAAAGCAGCAGGUUAAUACCCCGCUGUUCUGACGGUACCCAAAGAAUAAGCACCGGCUAACUUCGUG